rnacentral:misc_RNA from 1 species
GAAAUGCGAUAAGUAAUGUAAAUUGCAGAAUUCAGUGAAUCAUCGAAUCUUUGAACACAUCUUGCGCUCCUUGGUAUUCCUUGGAGCAUGCCUGUUUGAGUAUCAUGAAAUCUUCAAAGUAAAUCUUUUGUUAACUCAAUUGGUUUCUACUUUGGUAUUGGAGGUCUUUGCAGCUUCACACCUGCUCCUCUUUGUUCAUUAGCUGGAUCUCAGUGUUAUGCUUGGUUCCACUCGGCGUGAUAAGUUAUCUAUCGCUGAGGACACUGUAAAAGGUGGCCAAGGUAAAUGCAGAUGAACCGCUUCUAAUAGUCCAUUGACUUGGACAAUACUUUUAUGAUCUGAUCUCAAAUCAGGUAGGACUACCCGCUGAACUUAAGC